rnacentral:rRNA from 1 species
AACGAACGCUGGCGGCGUGCCUAAUACAUGCAAGUCGAGCGAGAAAAGGGGGGCAACUCCCUGAGUACAGCGGCGCACGGGUGAGUAACACGUAGGUAACCUACCUUCGAGCCCGGGAUAACCUACCGAAAGGUGGGCUAAUACCGGAUAUGACCACGGGAGUCACGGCUUCCGCGGUGAAUGAUGGCCUCUGCUUGCACGCUAUCACUCGAUGAGGGGCCUGCGCGCCAUUAGCUAGUUGGCGGGGUAAUGGCCCACCAAGGCUUUGAUGGCUAGCUGGUCUGAGAGGAUGGCCAGCCACACUGGGACUGAAACACGGCCCAGACUCCUACGGGAGGCUG